ACGAAAAGGCAGUAUAUUCCCUCACCCGAAGGAAUAAAUGAUGCCGUAUCCUUGGUGUCAUCUCCUCACCGCCGAUCAUAUUGAUCUCCUUACCUUUUUCCAAUAUCCGAGAGCGAGAUAGAGAGAGGGAGCGCUGAAGGCAGAGCUUCGAAAUUGAUAAAGUUGGGGCUUUUUUUCACCUUCGAGUCCAAUGGCGAAGCCGGAGUUCUUGAAGCGGGAGGAGGAAUUCUUCCCUUUCUCCAUCUUUGAUUCUCAAAAAGGUGAGGCAGUGAAAUCGCGCGGGCAGUUGAUUGAAAGAAAGAUUGAUGUUAUUGAAAGCUUGGCGGGCAAGGUUAGUAAUCGACGGUCACGCAGAUGGUUGAAUGAUCGUUUACUUAUUGAACUCGUUCCCCGUUUGAAUGUUGAAGAAAUAAGAGGCCUCUUUGCUCCACCUCCAUGGGGUGACAGCAUACCAUUAUCAGCAUUUAGCAUGACAAAUGUUGGAGAAUGGGAUGCAUUUAGGAAUGUUGAUAUGGAUGUGGAGGCAAACAUGAUACAAGCCCUGGAAAAAUCUUCUACAAAAAGAAAAGGCCAUGUUGAUAAUGAUAAGAUGAUUGCAUUGAAUGCAUGGCAUCGGGUAGAUUGCCGAACAAGAGAAGCACUGCGGCGUAAUUUCCAAUCCGAUCUGGUUGAGAGUUAUGAAGAACGCAUGCGAGCAUUCAUCAGGGAUGGUGGGGAUGGAGAUGUGCUUGUGCUACAUGUUCAAGAUCCAUUUCACAGACUGUUGCUGCAUGGUGUAUGUGAGUUUGGCCUUCACUAGUGGAAGUAGAUAAUGCUGGCACUAUACGAUGCCACUCUUUCUGCUUGCAAACAAAUUAACAUGGACCGUAAAGCUAGCAUUUACCUAAGGUCCAUGCCUUUACUAAUUUUUAGAAAUAAAGUUCUACAACUUGAUCUCUGUAACUGUUACAACUGCGACGGGUGCGAAGCAAUGGAAGAUGACCAAGAUUAGGAAGAAAUUGGGUUCUCAAGAGAUACCCCCAAAUAUGACACUUGUCCAAUUUCUUAAAAUGGCCAAGGAUGGGCUUUUAUAGUGUGCCCUAGGGGAAGAAAACCUCUGUAUAUUAAUUGAUUAUAAAUGCAAUCAAUUGCAAAUGUAAAUUAUUUAUCACAGAAAGCUGUUGGCUCAGCAGUCAGACAUUCUACUUCAGAUACAAUGCUAGAUUUAAGUAGCUGCAACUUAGUAAAAUAAUCCACAUUCAUGUUAAUGGAAUAUUGCACUGCGAUGAUAGCUUCCAACUUA